GUAAAAGAGAGUGAGUGAUGGCGGCGCCGUGCGUGGCCGGCGGCCGCCCCGUACUGCUCACACCGACUCCAUUUUGAAAGACAAGAGGAGCUCACGCACUCCAUCGUAGAAAAUAAAUAUGGAAGACAGUUCCCCAGACGGUCCCAGUGGAGGACAGAACUCCGCUCCCCACAAUGGUUUCCGAGGACGUGGUGGUUUCAGAGGAGGACGAGGUGGUGGUGGAUUCCGAGCGCGAGGUGCCCCAGGAUACUCAGGAGGCCCAAUGCGUGGUGGAUUCCGUGGCCGAGGAGGUUUUCGUGGAGGCCGUGGUGGCCCUGACACUGGAUACCGUGGUGGCUUCCGAGGCAAUUUCAGAGGUGGAUUCCGAGGCAACUCAUACGGACAAACUCGUGGCACUGGCUUCCGUGGCCGUGGAACAGGGGCACCUCGUGGGAGUUAUGGUAGUGGUGGAUAUGGGGAUGGUGGCUACAGGGGCGGGGGCUACAGCAGUGGUGGAUAUCGGGGAGCCCCAAGGGGACGUGGCGGUGGCGGUGGAGGAUAUGAAGGGGGAUACCAGAAACGAGGGGCCUCGCGUGGUUCAUAUGGCGGCCCUCCCAUGAAGCGGCCCAGGAUGGAUGGGGAGAGUGGCUACGGUAACAGUGGUUAUGGUGGCGGAUACAAUUCCUCUAACUAUGACAGCUACGGAGGCAGCAAUUAUAACAGUGGGCCAAACUACAGCAGCAGCGGCAGUGGAUAUGAUGGCUACAAGUCAAGUGAGUGAUGGCUGGUUUGUGAACUCUUGACGAAUGCGUCUGGACUGGUCUAUGGUUUCAUCAAAACAUUCAUGUACAAACACAGGCUAUGACAGCACUUAUGGGGGCGGCCAGAGUUAUGGGGGCAGUAGCAACUACGAAAAUUACGACAGCAGGGGUGGGUACGGCACGUCCCAAGGCUACGAGAAUGGUACGUACUAAGCCCUUUACACAAACCAAACGCUGCCAGGUUGCACGUGGAAG
rnacentral:misc_RNA from 1 species